UGCAGCAACGCCGCGUGAGUGAAGAAGGCCCUUGGGUUGUAAAGCUCUUUAGCCUGGAAAGAAGUGCUCGUAAGUAAACAAUUUACGGGUGUGACGGUACCAGGAGAAUAAGCACCGGCUAAUUUCGUGCCAGCAGCCGCGGUAAUACGAAAGGUGCAAGCGUUACUCGGAAUUACUGGGCGUAAAGCGCGCGUAGGUGGUCUUGUAUGUCGAUUGUGAAAGCCCAGGGCUCAACCUUGGAAUAGCAGCCGAAACUGCAAGACUUGAAUGUUGGAGAGGGUGGGGGAAUACCUAGUGGAGAAGUGAAAUUCGUAGAGAUUAGGUGGAACACCAGAGGCGAAGGCGCCUACCUGGCCAAACAUUGACGCUGAGGCGCGAAAGUGCGGGGAGCAAACAGGAUUAGAUACCCUGGUAGUCCGCACCGUAAACGAUGGACACUAGCCGUUCGAAGCAUUAACCCUUUGAGUGGCGAAGCUAACGCAUUAAGUGUCCCGCCUGGGAAGUACGGUCGCAAGACUA
rnacentral:rRNA from 1 species